UACAGAGGGGGCAAGCGUUGUUCGGAAUUACUGGGCGUAAAGGGCGCGUAGGUGGCCUUCUAAGUUGAACGUGAAAUCCCUGGGCUCAACCCAGGAACUGCGUCCAAGACUGGGAGGCUUGAAUCCGGGAGAGGGAUGCGGAAUUCCAGGUGUAGCGGUGAAAUGCGUAGAUAUCUGGAGGAACACCGGUGGCGAAGGCGGCAUCCUGGACCGGGAUUGACACUGAGGCGCGAAAGCUAGGGGAGCAAACGGG
rnacentral:rRNA from 1 species